rnacentral:rRNA from 1 species
GAUGAACGCUGGCGGCGUGCCUAAUACAUGCAAGUCGAGCGAACGGACGAGAAGCUUGCUUCUCUGAUGUUAGCGGCGGACGGGUGAGUAACACGUGGAUAACCUACCUAUAAGACUGGGAUAACUUCGGGAAACCGGAGCUAAUACCGGAUAAUAUUUUGAACCGCAUGGUUCAAAAGUGAAAGACGGUCUUGCUGUCACUUAUAGAUGGAUCCGCGCUGCAUUAGCUAGUUGGUAAGGUAACGGCUUACCAAGGCAACGAUGCAUAGCCGACCUGAGAGGGGUAUCGGGCACACUGGAACUGGGACACGGUCCCAACUCCUACGGGAGGCAGCAGGAGGGAAACCUCCGGCAUGGGGGGAAGCCUGACGGAGCAACGGCGCGUGAAUUGUUAAGGUCUUCGGAUCGUUAAACUCUGUUAAUAGGGAAGAAAAUAAUUGUAAAUUACUGUGGACAUCUUGGCGGUACCUAAUUAGAAAGCCCCCGCUAACCUCGUG